rnacentral:rRNA from 1 species
UCGAGAAUCUUUAGCAAUGGGCGAAAGCCUGACUAUGCGACGCCGCGUGAGGGAUGAAGGUUUUCGGAUCGUAAACCUCUUUCGAUAGGAAAGAAACCUCCGACGGAAACGUCGGAGCUGACGGUACCUAGAGAAGAAGCCACGGCCAACUCCGUGCCAGCAGCCGCGGUAAUACGGGGGUGGCGAGCGUUACUCGGAUUUAUUGGGUGUAAAGGGCAGGUAGGCGGCUAUGUAAGUUGGGGGUGAAAUCCUUUGGCUCAACCAAAGAACUGCCUUCAAAACUGCAUAGCUUGAGGCCAGAAGAGGAGAGCGGAAUUCCCGGUGUAAGGGUGAAAUCUGUAGAUAUCGGGAGGAACACCAGUGGCGAAAGCGGCUCUCUAGGCUGGCCCUGACGCUGAGCUGCGAAAGCUAGGGGAGCAAACA